CCAAAGGGGGCUUCGGCUCUCGCCUUUAGAUUGGCCCAAGUGGGAUUAGCUAGUUGGUGAGGUAAUGGCUCACCAAGGCGACGAUCCCUAGCUGGUUUGAGAGGAUGAUCAGCCACACUGGGACUGAGACACGGCCCAGACUCCUACGGGAGGCAGCAGUGGGGAAUAUUGCACAAUGGGCGCAAGCCUGAUGCAGCCAUGCCGCGUGUGUGAAGAAGGCCUUCGGGUUGUAAAGCACUUUCAGUCAGGAGGAAAGGUUAGUGGUUAAUACCCGCUAGCUGUGACGUUACUGACAGAAGAAGCACCGGCUAACUCCGUGCCAGCAGCCGCGGUAAUACGGAGGGUGCGAGCGUUAAUCGGAAUUACUGGGCGUAAAGCGUACGCAGGCGGUUUGUUAAGCGAGAUGUGAAAGCCCCGGGCUCAACCUGGGAACUGCAUUUCGAACUGGCAAACUAGAGUGUGAUAGAGGGUGGUAGAAUUUCAGGUGUAGCGGUGAAAUGCGUAGAGAUCUGAAGGAAUACCGAUGGCGAAGGCAGCCACCUGGGGUCAACACUGACGCUCAUGUACGAAAGCGUGGGGAGCAAACGGGAUUAGAUACCCCGGUAGUCCACGCCGUAAACGAUGUCUACUAGAAGCUCGGAGCCUCGGUUCUGUUUUUCAAAGCUAACGCAUUAAGUAGACCGCCUGGGGAGUACGGCCGCAAGGUUAAAACUCAAAUGAUUUGACGGGGGCCCGCCACAAGCGGUGGAGCAUGUGGUUUAAUUCGAUGCACCGCGAAGAACCUUACCUCCCCUGGACAUACAGAGAACUUAUCCAAAGAGGGUUUGGUGCCUUCCGGAACUCUGAUACAGG
rnacentral:rRNA from 1 species